rnacentral:rRNA from 1 species
AUGUUUAGCCACCAAAUGUCCUCAGAUCAGGUUCUCAACUUGGUCGUGGAGCAAGCGAUUUACCCUAUCACUACUAACAUAUUGUAUUCCCUCUUCGCUCCCUUUGGUGUAGAGCAGUUGGUGGUGUAUCCCCAAACAAAAUUAGGGGAUGGAGAGCCUUGUGUAGCAGCGGAUGUCCGAUUCACUUCGGCGCAAGCGGCGGCGCACGCGUUCGCAUACUGGGAUGGUCGCUGCAUCUACUACCGGUGUUGUCGCCUGCAGAUGUGGUGCGCUACACUCGACGUGUUGCCGGCCCCAGCAUCUACUUCACCCACCGUCGUCAAGGACAACCGUGACACCGCCGUCGACCUCAACAACUACACCACGACCAUCUCUGAUCAUGACGGCGAGUUCGUCGGGGCCAUCGAAAUCCCUGCGGCGGCAUCCACCAGCACGUCGCCUCACGGCCACGAUACAUUCACCAAGUCUUCCCUCGACAACGAUUGUUGCGUCCUAGUCGCGGGCACGGACGACUACACAUUGGUGGCGGCAAUUCCAGAAAUCGUCACCGAGCUCGCCGUCUUCCCCGGCGUCCCCUCGACCACCAAGGCCCAGGAGGACCUCGAGGUCAUCCACGACGCGCCCCCUGCCCGCAUCACGAUGGCGCAUGUCACCUAUCCGACGGAAUGCUCGCACCAGGUCGCCACAACCGACAUUCUCAAUGAGGGUUUGGGACUCAUCCUGAAAGAUGCCAUUGCGGAGCUCAUGCAUACGGUGACCCCCAUCGAAAUGUCCUCCGAGAUCGUGUCCCUGGAGGUGUGUGGCACAGGCCAAGGUGUUGUCGCCAUCGAUGUCAACGCUCCCACCACGUCUGUAUUCACUGGGUCGUCGGUGUGGCCCAGCUCCAACUCCGGCACCCCUGAAUAUUCACUGCCGUCGAGACACAAUGAUGUACAACAAGUGUUCGAGCCAAUGCCGUUUGACAAGCCUGAAGAUGCUGUUGCUGAUGUGAAGAAGCACAAAGAUGAUGCAAAGCUGACAGUACUUACACUCGUCGUGAACCCAUCAACUUGGUAUGAACAUUUCAGUCCCCGAGACCCAUGUUUUGUUUCGUUCGAUGCCCAGUUGGUAUUUGAGGAGCAUAUGAGGUCUGAACCGUGUCUAACAUGGCCACCACUAGUAGGAGCUAAUUUCAGUGAGUUAUGUUCAUCGGGGCAGUUUGAUUCAGAUUGCACAUUGUCAUUAUUCCCUUGGAAUCCAGGUGGUUAUUUGCUCAAGCAUAGCAAUCGGAUGACCAGAGUGUUUAUUACUGCUAAUUCACAAUGGCCUAUUACCCGUGUAAUUGAGGAGUCCAGUAAGUGCUUUCCUCAUAUUGUAAAAAUACAGUGGUUGUUUACUAUUUGUCUGAAGACAAUGACACAGUUCUUGGUAAUACUAUCUUUUGCUAAUCUGGAUUAUGAGCUAUGGCCUCCACCUUUGCGAGUGUUGAUCAGUCAAAAGGGGCACAUGUUCAGGCCAAGACCAUGGCCGUCUUUUGAUUGCUUUCAGGCAGAUGUGCAUCUGAAGUAUGCAGGGCAGCAAGUUACUUAUGUGAUGAAUCAUUUUUCUGGUGUUCGUAAUUUCCCAAGAGAAUCAUGGAGGUAUCUGCAAACUGAGCAACAGAAACCACGCCAUUCUGGGAAGGUUGUUUGUUGCAUCCAUAUGAUCUUAAGAGUCCUUUCUGUUCCUCGUCAGAUGAUACUGCAAUUAAUGGAGAAUGUGAACUCGAGUGCUGCAGAAUGGAGGUUGUAUGUUUCAACUGAGCUACAAGGUUAUGACAUACCUGACACCGAUUGUGAGAGCCAACCAAAGCAACGAUCACUGUUCAAGUUCAGUCGAAAGACAAUCCAACUGAAGCCACCAUGGCCAUCGUUUUCAUGCAAUUGCCACAGGUGCGGUCAGCAUUACUUACCGGUGACCCACCUGAGGACUACAUUGACACCAACUCCAUUUCGUCGUCGUGGACAUGAUGGGCUGCGUCAAUCCUGUUCCAAACUGCGCAUCGAUGGGUGCGGCCGCUGCCUACACCAUCCCGUCUUCCAGAUGAGCUGA